ACGGACACAUUAAUCUAUUGCAGGCUGGUACACUCAGUUUACAACUUCGUUCCUACCAGUAUGAGUGUUUUAUACAUGUGGGAGGACACCUGGAGGAAAGUCACGUGAGAGAGGGGAGGGGGGAUAACACCCAAUUCCCAAACAGAUGGAGGAGACAUGGAAAUUCACCCACUUGUCCUGCCAUCAUACCCUGGCAAGCCAGGAGAUGGCACCAUUUGGUAGGAGCUGGGGAGUUUCACCAAUGCGUGGUCCAUCAAAGCUCAGCUUCACACGCUGCUGGAUCGCAGGCGUCUGCAAACGUGCUGAUGAGAUGUAAAUGGAUCAGAAAUAUUGAUAAUCAGUUGUCUUCUUUUCAAUAGAAGACAGAUGUAUUGCAUCGUUCCAAUAUUGAGGCAUUUCUUAUUGGUAUUGAAUUAAAUACGUCUGCUAAUUUUGAAUCAACAGCUGGUCCCAUUAUGUUGAAGUUCAUUGAUUGCACAUGGCAUACAGCUCUCCAUUUAAUUCAUAUUGCAAAUGGCAGUGGUAAAUGCUCUUUUAACAACACUUCUACACUCCAAUACUUCUACACUCCUAUAAUACUUCUAUAAAACUUCUAGACUCCUACAACACUUCUAUAAAACUUCUACACUCCUACAAUACUUAUCGUUUACUUUCUUACUUUGCCCAUUACCAUCAAUGGACUAUCUAUAACAAUGUUAUUUAUUCAUUCUUUAAAGUGGUGACAUCCGUUUAAUCAUUUUCGUGAGGAAUUUGAAUCUGUUGCUUAGAAUCAGUUUUACUUCUGCUACCUCCUGAUCUAAGUUUUUGAUAUUAACUAUGUUGUUUUACUUGCAUUUAGGUCUGUCUUCUGAUGAUAUUGGAGAGUAACUUGCAUCACCCCAGCCUGUGAUCACUGUGAUGAAAUGUUCUGAGGACAGAAAUGUCCUAUGUGUUGUAACAAUCAGGCAUUUAGCUAAUCACACAGUGCCACUGCUGUCAGGUUUCUUUACAGACAGGAAAGCAUUGACCGUAAAGCCUGGGAGCCAGGGAGGAGGUAGCGUUGUGGUGCCUGGGAGCCAGGGAGUAGGUGGCGCUGUGGUGCCUGGGAGCCAGGGAGGAGGUGGCGCUGUGGUACCUGGGAGCCAGGGAGGAGGUGGCGCUGUUGGUGCCUGGGAGCCAGGGAGGAGGUGGCGUUGUGGUGCCUGGGAGCCAGGGCGGAGGUGGCGCUAUGGUGCCUGGGAGCCAGGGCGGAGGUGGCGCUGUGGUGCCUGGGAGCCAGGGAGUAGGUGGCGCUGUGGUGCGUUCCACUCCUAUCCGGCGGUGUGUACUUGCACAAACUUAAAGAGAAUAUGAGUUAACAAAUUUAGCAUGCCAUUUGUGUCCUAAUUAUAUAUAUUGUAUAUAACAAUGUCGAGGAAGUAAUUACUUGUACAUAAGAUUUAAAUUAAUUUACAUGCAGGCUAAUAUUUAACGUUAUUCCUGCGAGCGAGCGAGUAGGCAGAGUGCCGAUGCAAGUGGAACGCUGCUACUGCUGCUCAUGAUUCCCUGACCCAUUACCUCUCGGACAAAUACGAUGCGUAGUGCGUUCCUUGUAUCUUUACCAAGGAAAUUCUGUUAUGUAUUGUUCGUGUAGGAUUUUUGUGUAUAUAUAUUUUUAAACACUGGUUUUAAUGAAAACUUGGUAAAUGCUGCAGAAAUCUCCUAUAGUUGUAUGAUAUUAGGGUUUAACACCUGUCCGGUGUUGACAGUCCAGGAAUUGGCAUCUGUAUUCGAGUGGCAAGGAUUGAGUUGUACUGAGAUCUGGUACCGGUGUUGUAUUAAACUUGAUUCCAGUGUACUGCACAGUUUUGAUAACAGACCUAGACUGAUGGAAAUAUAUCCGGGUUUGUUCUGUGGAAAGGUUGGCAACCCUAAGUAGAGUCCUUAAAGGACUUUGCGAAUCCAGCAGUCUGCACGAGUCUAUUCCAAUGCGUUUUUGAGCGGGUUAUUAGUGUCGCUGCCUAAUCAUGAUUCGGGCUUAUUGGCAAAGAUGAAUUUAAAACUGAAAUAAAAUGUUUUAAACUCU